AUCAAUAUUCACCAGGAUCUUACCCUUCCUCCAGCCACAGCCAGACUGAAUCGUAUAAUUUCCAGCGAAUCCAGAACCAAGACGUAUCAAACUCAGCGGUGUUCAAUCCCCAUUUUUUCUUUUUCUUUUUUUCUUUUUCUUUUCUUUUCUUUUCUUUUUUUUUUUUGCUCCGCUUCAAUCCCUUUUUACUUUACUCUUCUCCUCCAGUUUGGUGAUAGACAGACUUGUGACGACAUAAUCAUGUCCCUGCACUGCACUGACGGAGCACCGUUACAUUGUCAUCGCCUAUCAAGCGCGAGUGGAUCAGGGUAUAGAAUGGUAGACAACAACCGACGGC
rnacentral:sRNA from 1 species